AAUAGAUACCCAGGUAGUCCACCCCGUAAACGUUGGGAACUAGUUGUGGGGUCCAUUCCACGGAUUCCGUGACGCAGCUAACGCAUUAAGUUCCCCGCCUGGGGAGUACGGCCGCAAGGCUAAAACUCAAAGGAAUUGACGGGGACCCGCACAAGCGGCGGAGCAUGCGGAUUAAUUCGAUGCAACGCGAAGAACCUUACCAAGGCUUGACAUAUAGAGGAAACGGCUGGAAACAGUCGCCCCGCAAGGUCUCUAUACAGGUGGUGCAUGGUUGUCGUCAGCUCGUGUCGUGAGAUGUUGGGUUAAGUCCCGCAACGAGCGCAACCCUCGUUCUAUGUUGCCAGCACGUAAUGGUGGGAACUCAUGGGAUACUGCCGGGGUCAACUCGGAGGAAGGUGGGGAUGACGUCAAAUCAUCAUGCCCCUUAUGUCUUGGGCUUCACGCAUGCUACAAUGGCCGGUACAAAGGGCUGCAAUACCGUAAGGUGGAGCGAAUCCCAAAAAGCCGGUCCCAGUUCGGAUUGAGGUCUGCAACUCGACCUCA
rnacentral:rRNA from 1 species